AUGAAUAUAUUUUUUUGAGGAAGACGACGCUUUGAGGAUAAUGAAUUUUUUUUACAUAUAUAUCCUUUUUUUAUUUCAGAAGGGACUAUCUACUGUCCAAUUCCUGCCAGAAAAAACUCCACAGCUGCUGAGGUGAUUGACUCUCUUAUAAACAGACUUUUUUUUGACAAAACAAAAUUUUUUUUUCUUGCAGAAGUAAAGGAAUUUGGUGGAUUUUUUUGGAUACUCAAUCCUUUUUUUUGUCCAGUUCAGCGAAUGAUGUUGUGGCCUUUUUUUGCUCUGGAAAAUCUUUUUUUUGGAGAGGACUAUCGCUUUCUUCUGAGAGUUUUUUUCCUUGAUGGAUCAUUUUUUUAUGGUAGUCUGCAGUCAUGGUUACGGGUAACAGAAGAACGCCGCAGGAUGAUGGAACGGGGCUUUCUUCCACAGCCUCAACAGAAAGACUUUGAUGAUUUAUGUAGCUUACCUGAUUUGAAUGAGAAAACUCUUUUAGAAAUUUUUUUAAAUCGCUUUAAGUUUUUUUAAAUUUAUACCUAUGUUGGCAGUAUUCUAUUUUUUUUUAACCCAUUCAAUUUUUUUCCUAUUUAUAAUCCCAAAUACGUCAAAAUUUUUUUUAACCACCAAUUGGUUUUUUUGGAGCCCCACAUUUAUGCUGUGGCUGAUGUUUUUUUUCAUGCCAUGCUUUUUUUUUAAAAGAAUCAGUGCAUCGUGAUUUCAGGAUUUUUUUGUUCUGGGAAGACUUUUUUUACAAACUUCCUUAUUCACCACCUUACUGCUCUCAGUCAGAAGGGAUUUGCCAGUGGAGUGGAACAAAUUAUUCUUGGAGCUGGACUUUUUUUUGAGGCCUUUGGAAAUGCAAAGACAGCUCAUAAUAACAAUUCAAGUCGUUUUGGCAAAUUUAUUCAAGUAAAUUACCAAGAAACUGGCACUGUACUUGGUGCCUAUGUUGAAAAAUAUCUACUGGAGAAGUCCAGACUCGUUUAUCAAGAGCAUAAUGAACGGAACUAUCAUGUAUUUUAUUACCUCCUGGCAGGAGCAAGUGAAGAAGAAAGAUUAGCAUUCCAUCUUAAACAACCGGAAGAGUAUCAUUAUCUCAAUCAGAUAACAAAGAAACCCCUCAGACAGAGCUGGGAUGAUUAUUGCUAUGACUCUGAGCCGGAUUGCUUCUCGGUGGAGGGGGAAGAUUUGAGGCAUGACUUUGAACGCUUACAACUGGCCAUGGAAAUGGUAGGAUUUCUUCCCAAGACACGAAGACAGAUUUUCUCUCUUCUCUCAGCAAUACUACAUUUGGGUAAUAUCUGUUAUAAAAAGAAGACAUAUCGGGAUGACUCCAUAGAUAUCUGUAAUCCUGAAGUUCUGCCUAUUGUCUCAGAAUUAUUAGAAGUUAAAGAAGAAAUGCUAUUUGAAGCGUUAGUUACAAGGAAGACUGUGACAGUGGGAGAAAAGCUUGUUUUGCCAUACAAGCUGGCAGAGGCUGUGACAGUGAGGAACUCCAUGGCUAAGUCUUUAUAUAGUGCCCUGUUUGACUGGAUAGUUUUUCGGAUUAAUCAUGCACUUCUGAAUAGUAAAGAUUUGGAGCAAAAUACAAAGACUUUGUCCAUUGGUGUUCUUGAUAUUUUUGGGUUUGAAGAUUAUGAAAAUAACAGCUUUGAACAGUUCUGUAUUAAUUUUGCUAAUGAACGUUUACAGCACUACUUCAAUCAGCAUAUUUUUAAAUUGGAGCAAGAGGAGUAUAGAACUGAAGGUAUCAGCUGGCACAAUAUAGAUUAUAUUGAUAAUACCUGUUGCAUAAAUCUUAUUAGCAAGAAACCAACAGGUCUGCUCCACCUUUUGGAUGAAGAAAGCAACUUUCCACAGGCUACAAAUCAAACAUUGCUAGAUAAAUUUAAGCAUCAACAUGAAGAGAAUUCUUACAUUGAAUUUCCAGCCGUGAUGGAGCCUGCUUUCAUCAUAAAGCAUUAUGCUGGGAAAGUAAAAUAUGGGGUAAAGGAUUUCCGGGAAAAAAAUACAGAUCACAUGCGCCCUGACAUUGUAGCUCUUCUGAGAAGUAGCAAGAAUGCAUUUAUCUCUGGGAUGAUUGGAAUUGAUCCCGUAGCUGUUUUCCGAUGGGCAGUUCUCAGAGCUUUUUUCAGAGCCAUGGUUGCUUUCAGGGAAGCUGGGAAAAGACACAUUCAGAGAAAAACUGGACAUGAUGAUACAGCGCCAUGUGCAGUUUUGAAAAGUAUGGAUAGUUUUAGCUUUCUCCAACACCCAGUCCACCAGAGGAGCUUAGAGAUUCUGCAGAGGUGCAAGGAAGAGAAGUACAGUAUAACCCGGAAAAAUCCCAGAACACCUCUUUCUGAUCUCCAGGGCAUGAAUACUCUAAAUGAAAAAAACCAACAAGAUACAUUUGAUAUUGCGUGGAAUGGCAGAACUGGGAUUCGUCAGAGCAGACUAUCAAGUAGCACCUCUUUGCUUGAUAAAGAUGGGAUAUUUGCUAAUUCAGCUAGCAGCAAACUCUUGGAGAGAGCCCAUGGAAUUCUCAUGAGAAACAAAAAUUUCAAGUCCAAGCCUGGCCUUCCAAAGCACUUGCUGGAGGUAAAUUCUUUAAAGCACCUGACAAGACUGACACUACAGGAUCGCAUCACCAAGUCUCUUCUUCAUUUGCAUAAGAAGAAAAAACCUCCCAGCAUCAGUGCCCAGUUUCAGGCCUCGUUAAGCAAGCUGAUGGAGACACUUGGUCAAGCAGAACCCUAUUUUGUAAAAUGCAUUCGUUCUAAUGCUGAAAAGCUGCCGUUAAGAUUUAAUGAUACCUUGGUACUUCGACAGCUUCGGUACACUGGGAUGCUGGAGACAGUUCGAAUUCGCCAAUCUGGAUACAGCUGCAAAUAUUCUUUCCAGGAUUUUGUGAGCCACUUCCACGUACUUCUUCCCCGAAAUAUUAUUCCAUCCAAAUUUAACAUUCAAGAUUUCUUCAGGAAAAUAAAUCUUAAUUCAGAUAAUUAUCAAGUUGGAAAAUCCAUGGUGUUCCUAAAGGAACAGGAACGACAGCACCUACAAGAUCUGCUUCACCAAGAGGUGCUCCGCAGAAUCAUACUGUUGCAGCGAUGGUUCAGGGUUCUUCUGUGUAGGCAGCAUUUCCUCCAUCUGAGACAGGCAUCCAUCAUUAUCCAGCGAUUCUGGAGGAAUUACCUAAAUCAGAAGCAAGUCAGAAAUGUAGCUGUGCAGAAGGAUGCUUUAGUUAUGGCUAGUGCGGCCACUCUUCUCCAGGCUUCCUGGCGUGCUCACUUGGAGAGGCAGCGGUAUUUGGAGCUCCGGACUGCAACCAUCAUCAUCCAGCAGAGAUGGAAGGAACAUUAUAGGCGGAGACAUGUGGCUGCUGUCUACAUUCAGGCAAGAUGGAAAGGCUACAGGGAAAGUAAGAGAUAUCAAGAACAAAGGAACAAAAUCAUCCUUUUGCAGUCAAUAUGUAGAGGAUUCAGAGCAAGACAAAGAUUUAAAGUUUUAAAAGAACAAAGACUGAAAGAAACAAAACUAGAACUUGGAUUGGCAAAUACUGAGCCGUCUGGAGCUCUGGAAAUUCAGGGUUCAGACCCUUCAGAGUGGGAGGAUUGUUCCUUUGACAACAGAGUAAAAGCUAUAGAGGAAUGUAAAUCUGUGAUAGAGAGUAAUCGAAUUAGCCAGGAAAUUUCAAUGGACUGCUUGAAAGAGUCCCCAAACAAGCGACAGGAGAGAGCCCGAAGCCAAAGUGGUGUAGACUUGCAGGAAGAAGUGAUUGUAAGAGAGAGACCUAAGUCCUUGGAGGAUCUCCACCAAAAAAAAGUAGGUCGGGCCAAAAGAGAAAGUCGGAGAAUGAGAGAACUAGAGCAAGCUAUAUUUAGUUUAGAAUUGUUGAAAGUUCGUUCUCUUGGUGGCGUGUCUCCUUCAGAGGAACGUAGAUGGUCUACAGAACUGAUGCCUGAAGGCCUUCAGUCUGUACAGGGUACACCUGACAGUGAAAGCUCUCAAGGAAGCUUAGAACUUCUGAGUUGUGAGGAAAGCCAAAAGAGCAAACUGGAGUCCAUAAUUUUAGAUGAAGGAGACUUGCAGUUUCAGUCACCUAAAAUAUCUAGCAGUCCAAAAUUUGAUUCACAGAACAAUACCCUCAGUGCCUCAAGUGAGACUAACUAUACAUUGAUUGAAAAGGGGGCAUCCUCUGACUCAGUGUAUUUGAAGAAUGGGACUAUGAAGGAAAAACUGGUUUGCAGUUCUGAAUCUAUUACCUGUAAGCCACAGCUGAGAGACCCCUAUAUUUCAAAUAGUUUGCCUACAUUUUUUUAUAUUCCUCAACAAGACCCACAGAAAACAAGUUCCCAACUAGAUACAAGUAUCCAGAGAAACAAGCUAUUAGAAAGUGAAGAAACACUUUCAGCUCUCACUUUGGAUAUCAACAGGGAAGCCAGAAAGUACCACUUCCCAGGAGAAAAUCAAGUUGUUACAUCUUUGAAUACAGAUUCUUCUAAUACUGUGCUGAAGAAGUUAGAAAAGCUAAACAUUGAGAAGGAAGAAAGGCAAAAGCAGUUGCAGCAACAGAAUGAAAAAGAGAUGAUGGAACAGAUUCGUCAGCAAACAGAUAUUUUAGAGAAGGAGCGUAAAGCCUUCAAGACAAUUGAAAAGCCAAGAACUGGGGAGUCCUUCCUGGCACCAUCUUUCCAUCCAUCAGACCAAAGAGUAGAGAGGCCAUCCUCUCUCCUCAUUCUGAAUACCCCAAAUAAGGAAGAACCGAAUGUAGUAGGGCCUCCACCAGUAACUGUAAAAGAUGCAGCUCUUCUUCCAAAAGACAGUCCUUCUGCUCACCUACCCCAGAAGGACCGACCUGUCACCUUGUUCUUUGAAAGGAAAGGAGGCCCAUGCCCAUUUGCUACUACCAAGGAAUUAUCCAAGACAGACAGAAUGUGCACCCAACUGAAUGUAGCCUGUAAAGUUUCUAAUAAUCGUAUUUCAAAAAGAGAACACCAUAGACCAACUCAGUCUUAUAGCCACAAAUCUGAUGACCCUUCCGGAGAUGGAACUACUAGGGUUAUUUUCUUUAUGCCAAAGGACAAUAUGACCUUAAACAGUGGAAAUCCUCAACUCCGUAAACAAGGUGAACCAACUUGGAAACCUGUGCAGUUAACUGGGCCGGGCCAAGGAGAGGUUGCCAGACCGGCCCAUAAAAAGAAAGCUCGAAUGGCGCGGACGCGCUCCGAUUUCUUGACUAGAGGUACUUUUGCUGAUGGGGAGGGGGAUACAGAGGAAGAUGAUUACGAUGACAUUAUUGAGCCCCUUCUCUCCCUUGACCAAGCUUCUCACUCUGAGCUAGGGCCUGCACCCAGCCUGGGUCAGGCCUCUCACAGUGACUCCGAAAUGACAUCACAGCGAUUUUCUUCAGUUGAUGAAGAAACAAAGCUUCAUAAGACUAUGUCUCAAGGAGAGAUUACAAAAUUGGCAGUGAGGCAGAAGGCUUCAGAUUCGGACAUAAG